UCAACUGUAAAAGAUUCUUCUCUUGUAGUGGUUGCAUAAUGUCUGAAGGCCAGAAAAACAUCUUAUUUCCUCCAUAUUUCCAAAACAGGAACCACUGCUUUCUUAGAGCCCCAUGUUUAUUGAAUAAAUGGAUGAAGUAUUGAUAGAAAAAGGAUGCUUUAUAGAAAUAAUUUGAAUGGCAAGAUGCUCCAACUCAUUUAACACAGGACCUGUCUUGCUGAACUUUGUUUAGACGCAGCCUUUCAAGGGCACGUUUUCUGCUGAAGGGAAGUAUGUUUCUAGAUGAAUAAUGCCUUUUCACAGUGUCUGAGUCACCUCACAGCUUUCAACCUCAUCUGAUAACGGUCCUUGGCAGAUCUGCCCUUUUGGCGGGGCUUCCCCUGGGCUAUCACCUCUUGUCUGCCCUGUGUGUGCUGUUGCCUCUUGCAGAGGGUUGCCAGGCACCGGAACCUGCAUUAUUAUAGUUCUUUAGUUCAGUAUUGUUCUCAUGGUCCAUUGUGGGGAAGAGGAUCUUUGGCUGGGAUCUCAGGAGGAUAGCAGGACUGCCUCAACACUGUCACCAACCUCGUGAAGGCUGUUUCUGGCAGGAGAACUGAGAUUGAAAGGGAAGGGUGAAAAGAAAGUGUACAACAAGGAUUCCUGAGCUCCACUUGAUUAGAAAGCAUGGCCAGUCCUCUAGGCUAGCCACUGGCCAUUUCUUCGAUGGAGGGCAUUCAGUGCAUAAAGAGGAAGGAUUCAGGAUUAAUUGGGUCACAACUCUAAGGCUCCAUACUAGAGUGGGUUAUUAGUUCCAGCUCUGGGCCUUCCCUAAUCAUGGUAGGACUGUACUCCUGAACCCCUUGGGCUGUGUGGGAUCAAGUGGCAAUUUUAACCAUUGCCUGCAUGGAAAUGAUGCAUGUGACUUCCAGACUAGAGUAUUUAAAUGCAGUAUGAGACUCUGCAGUUUCCUUUCCUUCUACCACACAAACACAAUGUUUCUCUUUGGAUUCCAGAAGGACAAUGUAGAAUUGGUUCCUCAGCCAAAGUAUGAUGGACAGGUAGCAUAAGUGAAAAAUAUACCUUGCUUUUUAGUCACUGAGGUUAUGGGAUUUUAUUGUAACCCAAACUAGCCUAUCCUGACUGAUGCACAAACCUCUUCCCCUUGACCAUAGUACCAGGAGUGUUCCAAAAUGCAGGAAAAGGGCAGCUUUGUUUGAAAAGAGAGGCCACAUCAAGCUCCUCCUGUGGCACUGGGGUCACUGAGUAGUUACGAGCUUACAGGUGUGUGUUAAAUUAGCAAACCUGUUGGGCUUUGUUCUGGAAACUGACAGAGACCAGAAGGAAACUUCAGAACAGCUGUAAAGACUGCAGAAACUGUGGAGACCCCUUGUGCCAGAUAGCCUGACCCAGGGGUCCCUGAGUUGGGGUGUGGACUACCAGAGCGUCAAGGGCUUUACUGUGCAUGCUCCAGGUUGUUUCUCAUUUGAGUUUCUCCCUCCCUCCUUCCCUCCCUUCUUCCCUCCCUCCCUCGCUUUCUCCUUCCCUUCUUCCCUCUCUUCCUUCCUUUUCACUCAAAAAUCGAGUUUGUAUCCCAGGCACUGUGCUGUUCUGGAACUUCAGGGGUGAGUAAAACCACCACAGUAGACCAUCAUGUGACUUAACCUGCUAGCAGAGAUAAGGUUAGGGAUCAUGGGAGCAGAGGCAACCAGCCACAAUUGCAAUAGAGGCUCCAAGGUUCCCCACUAACAGGUGGAGGACUCGCCCUUGUCAUCCUUGAUGAUAACUGCAUUUUCCUUCUAACCCUUCCCAGUUAGUUCCCUGCUCUCUUUGCCAGUUUGCCUUUUUCUCAUAGUUCCCCUCAGCAGGCUGCCCAUUUCUGACUGACAUUGCCCCAUAGUCACUUGUCUUCUACCACACCCCAUGUCCUCAGUCCUUCAGUCUCCUUGGACUUCACUGCUCACUGCUCCAUACAACCUAGUGGAACCCACAGCCAUUGUCUCGCCACCACUGCCUGCAGCUCAUCUAGGAUCCGGGCUGUCUUGCUGUCACCUUUUCCAGGUGUGUUCAGCCAGGGAAGCUGUCUGCAACAGGCAUUCCUCCAAAACUGACAUCCUGCUUGUAUGAGAAGCCUUCAUGAUGAACAUGACCUUCUUGGCAGUGAGAGCCAAACUGUGGAAAAUACAUUAGAUGACCCUUGGUCUUUGUCUUGAGCCAUUUUAAGAACAGAGGAUGAGAGCUGCUUGGGGAGGAAGGGUCAUCACUCAGGACUGGUGCAACCUGUUGAAGGUGCCCUAAAGCAUUCCCAUGGGCACUGAGUGGCAAAACACCAGGUCUCAUUAUUUUGGGCACCUGUGAAUUGGACACUCAUCUCUGAGCUGAGGACUGACAUUGGCCCUUCUCCCAAUACAUAGACUGGAAGUUUUGGAAAGAGUGGUUCAUCAAAAGAAAAGCAGGAUGCUGUUACUUGAGGAAAUAGAGAAGGAUCCAGGAAAGCAAGAACCAGAUGUCUAUAGAGUUGCCAGAGGAAAAUAAUUCUAAGAAGGAAACGAAGGAGUGUGAAAUAUUGCUAAGAGAUCAUGAAAAAUAGUGAAAAAAUGCCUAUUGGAUUAACUUCCUGGAAGAUGCUGACCCACACAAACAGCUUCACUACAAACUGGGGUGUGGAACUGGUGCAAGAUUCUACCUCAGAGCAGGCAAAUCUUACAGUUCAAGACGUAUUACAGAGGUCAAUCUGAGUUUUGAAAAGGUGUUGCGCAUGUUGGUUUACUGAACCAACCUAUCAUUUUAUCUCCCACAUUUCUUCGUUUCCAAUGGAUUAGUCUUUUAACUCUUUAUUAGUAAUAUGUCUAUGUGUAUCAUAAACAUUGCACAACUUUUUAAGGACUUAAAAACAGCAUACUUACAGGGACACAGACACAUCAUUGUUUAUAGCAGCACAAUUCACAAUAGCUAAACUGUGAACCAACUUAGAUGCCCUUCAAUAGAUGAAUGGAUAAAAAAA